AUUGAACGCUGGCGGCAGGCCUAACACAUGCAAGUCGAACGGUAACAGGAAGCAGCUUGCUGCUUCGCUGACGAGUGGCGGACGGGUGAGUAAUGUCUGGGAAACUGCCUGAUGGAGGGGGAUAACUACUGGAAACGGUAGCUAAUACCGCAUAACGUCGCAAGACCAAAGAGGGGGACCUUAGGGCCUCUUGCCAUCGGAUGUGCCCAGAUGGGAUUAGCUAGUAGGUGGGGUAACGGCUCACCUAGGCGACGAUCCCUAGCUGGUCUGAGAGGAUGACCAGCCACACUGGAACUGAGACACGGUCCAGACUCCUACGGGAGGCAGCAGUGGGGAAUAUUGCACAAUGGGCGCAAGCCUGAUGCAGCCAUGCCGCGUGUAUGAAGAAGGCCUUCGGGUUGUAAAGUACUUUCAGCGGGGAGGAAGGGAGUAAAGUUAAUACCUUUGCUCAUUGACGUUACCCGCAGAAGAAGCACCGGCUAACUCCGUGCCAGCAGCCGCGGUAAUACGGAGGGUGCAAGCGUUAAUCGGAAUUACUGGGCGUAAAGCGCACGCAGGCGGUUUGUUAAGUCAGAUGUGAAAUCCCCGGGCUCAACCUGGGAACUGCAUCUGAUACUGGCAAGCUUGAGUCUCGUAGAGGGGGGUAGAAUUCCAGGUGUAGCGGUGAAAUGCGUAGAGAUCUGGAGGAAUACCGGUGGCGAAGGC
rnacentral:rRNA from 1 species